AUAUUUACCUGGCAGGGGAGAUCCCGUGAUCACGAAGGCGGCCUUCCCAGAGCGAGGCUUAUCCCUUGCACGCCGGGUACACUGACCCCUGCGAUUCCCCAAACGUGGGAGACUUGAUCGCACAAUCUGUGGUAGUGGGGGGCUGCAUUCACGUGCUCCGCUG